rnacentral:rRNA from 1 species
CGCAGCCGCGGUAAUUCCAGCUCCAAUAGCGUAUAUUAAAGUUGUUGCAGUUAAAAAGCUCGUAGUUGAAUUUCGGGGUUAGUAGGUUGGUCAUGCCUCUGGUAUGUACUGGUCUCACUGAUUCCUCCUUCCUGAUGAGCCGUAAUGCCAUUAAUUUGGUGUUGCGGGGAAUUUGGACUGUUACUUUGAAAAAAUUAGAGUGUUUAAAGCAAGCUAACGCUUGAAUACAUUAGCAUGGAAUAAUGAAAUAGGACGUUCGAUCCUAUUUUGUUGGUUUCUAGGAUUGACGUAAUGAUUAAUAGGGAUAGUUGGGGGCAUUAGUAUUCAAUUGUCAGAGGUGAAAUUCUUGGAUUUAUUGAAGACUAACUACUGCGAAAGCAUUUGCCAAGGAUGUUUUCAUUAAUCAAGAACGAAAGUUAGGGGAUCGAAGACGAUCAGAUACCGUCGUAGUCUUAACCAUAAACUAUGCCGACUAGGGAUCGGAUGAUGUUAAUUUUUUAAUGACUCAUUCGGCGCCUUA